CCGCCUUUUAAUUGUUAAUUGCAUGCUAUAUGAUGUUGCUCAAAUGAACAUGUUUUUCAAAAUAAAUCCUUCAAGUGGUAUCAGAGCCUAGGUCUAGUAGUUGGUGAAUCCUUUUGGGUUUUGUAGUUCAUAAGUUUAUGAUUUAAAAGUUGUAAUUGUUACAAGCUUUAUUCUUGCUUCUUUGAAUGUAAAUUUUGUUUGAAAAUUUGCCAUCUCAAAUGUUGUAGAUGUAGUUCAUAUGAGCAUGAAUAUUGGAGCUAAAAUUUGGUGCCAUGAUUUUAGGGAUUUUUCGGCCAAAUCCAAAGG
rnacentral:lncRNA from 1 species